UGGGGAAUUUUGGACAAUGGGCGCAAGCCUGAUCCAGCAAUGCCGCGUGCAGGAUGAAGGCCUUCGGGUUGUAAACUGCUUUUGUACGGAACGAAAAAGCUCUCUCUAAUACAGGGGGUGAAUGACGGUACCGUAAGAAUAAGCACCGGCUAACUACGUGCCAGCAGCCGCGGUAAUACGUAGGGUGCAAGCGUUAAUCGGAAUUACUGGGCGUAAAGCGUGCGCAGGCGGUUUUGUAAGACAGAGGUGAAAUCCCCGGGCUCAACCUGGGAACUGCCUUUGUGACUGCAAAGCUGGAGUGCGGCAGAGGGGGAUGGAAUUCCGCGUGUAGCAGUGAAAUGCGUAGAUAUGCGGAGGAACACCGAUGGCGAAGGCAAUCCCCUGGGCCUGCACUGACGCUCAUGCACGAAAGCGUGGGGAGCAAACAGGAUU
rnacentral:rRNA from 1 species